CCUACGGGUGGCAGCAGUAGGGAAUCUUCCACAAUGGGCGCAAGCCUGAUCGAGCAAUUCCGCGUGUGUGAAGAAGGUCUUCGGGUCGUAAAACCCUGUUGUAGGAGAAGAAAGUGCGUUAGCGUAACUUUUCACGUUUCGACGGUAUCUAACCAGUAAGCACCGGCUAACUACGUGCCAGCAGCCGCGGUAAUACGUAGGUGGCGAGCGUUAUCCGGAUUUAUUGGGCGUAAAGGGAAUGCAGGCGGUCUUGUAAGUCUGAUGUGAAAUCCUUCGGCUUAACCUGGGUACCGCAUUGGAGACUGGGUGACUUGAGUGCAGCAGAGGAGAGUGGAACUCCACGUGUAGCGGUGAAAUGCGUAGAUAUAUGGAAGAACACCAGUGGCGAAGGCGGCCCUCUGGUCUGCAACUGACGCUGAGGUUCGAAAGCGUGGGUAGCAAACAGGAUUAGAUACCCCUGUAGUC
rnacentral:rRNA from 1 species